rnacentral:rRNA from 1 species
CCUACGGGGGACAGCAGUGGGGAAUAUUGCACAAUGGGCGAAAGCCUGAUGCAGCAACGCCGCGUGAGCGAUGAAGGCCUUCUGGUCGUAAAGCUCUGUCCUCAAGGAAGAUAAUGACGGUACUUGCGGAGCACGCCCCGGCUAACUACGUCCCAGCAGCCGCGAUAAUACGUCGGGGGCUAGCGUUAUCCGGAAUUACUGGGCGUAAGGGGUGCGUAGGUGGUUUCUUAAGUCAGCGGUAAAAGGCUACGGCUCAACCGUGGUAAGCCGUUGAAACUGCGAAACUUGAGUGCAGGAGAGGAGAGUGGAAUUCCUAGUGUAGCGGUGAAAUGCGUAGAUAUUAGGAAGAACACCAGUUGCGAAGGCGGCUCACUGGACUGUAACUGACACUGAGGCACGAAAGCGUGGGGAGCAAACAGGAUUAGAUACCCUUGUAGUC